rnacentral:misc_RNA from 1 species
GAUGAAGAACGCAGCGAAAUGCGAUAAGUAAUGUGAAUUGCAGAAUUCAGUGAAUCAUCGAAUCUUUGAACGCGCAUUGCGCCCGCCAGCAGUCUGGCGGGCAUGCCUGUUCGAGCGUCAUUUCAACCCUCGAGCCCCCCCGGGGGCCUCGGUGUUGGGGGACGGCACACCAGCCGCCCCCGAAAUGCAGUGGCGACCCCGCCGCAGCCUCCCCUGCGUAGUAGCACACACCUCGCACCGGAGCGCGGAGGCGGUCACGCCGUAAAACGCCCAACUUUCUUAGAGUUGACCUCGGAUCAGGUAGGAAUACCCGCUGAACUUAAGCAUAUCAAUAAGCGGAGGA